rnacentral:rRNA from 1 species
UACGUAGGGUGCAAGCGUUAAUCGGAAUUACUGGGCGUAAAGCGUGCGCAGGCGGUUAUGUAAGACAGGUGUGAAAUCCCCGGGCUUAACCUGGGAACUGCAUUUGUGACUGCAUAGCUAGAGUACGGUAAAGGGGGAUGGAAUUCCGCGUGUAGCAGUGAAAUGCGUAGAUAUGCGGAGGAACACCGAUGGCGAAGGCAAUCCCCUGGACCUGUACUGACGCUCAUGCACGAAAGCGUGGGGAGCAAACAGG